rnacentral:rRNA from 1 species
GACGAACGCUGGCGGCGUGCUUAACACAUGCAAGUCGAGCGAUGAAGUUCCUUCGGGAAUGGAUUAGCGGCGGACGGGUGAGUAACACGUGGGUAACCUGCCUCAUAGAGGGGAAUAGCCUUCCGAAAGGAAGAUUAAUACCGCGUAAGAUUGUAGUACCGCAUGGUACAGCAAUUAAAGGAGUAAUCCGCUAUGAGAUGGACCCGCGUCGCAUUAGCUAGUUGGUGAGGUAACGGCUCACCAAGGCGACGAUGCGUAGCCGACCUGAGAGGGUGAUCGGCCACAUUGGGACUGAGACACGGCCCAGGCUCCUACGGGAGGCAGCAGGGGGGAAUAUUGCACAAUGGGGGAAACCCUGAUGCAGCAACGCCGCGUGAGUGAUGACGGUCUUCGGAUUGUAAAGCUCUGUCUUCAGGGACGAUAAUGACGGUACCUGAGGAGGAAGCCACGGCUAACUACGUGCCAGCAGCCGCCGUAA